AUUGAACGCUGGCGGCAUGCCUUACACACGCAAGUCGAACGGCAGCACGGGUGCUUGCACCUGGUGGCGAGUGGCGAACGGGUGAGUAAUAUAUCGGAACGUACCUUAUUGUGGGGGAUAACGCAGCGAAAGCUGUGCUAAUACCGCAUAAUCCCUAAGGGGGAAAGCGGGGGACGGUAGGGCCUCGCGCAAUUAGCGUGGCCGAUACCUGAUUAGCUAGUUGGUGAGGUAAAGGCUCACCAAGGCAACGAUCAGUAGCUGGUCUGAGAGGACGAUCAGCCACACUGGGACUGAGACACGGCCCAGACUCCUACGGGAGGCAGCAGUGGGGAAUUUUGGACAAUGGGGGCAACCCUGAUCCAGCAAUGCCGCGUGAGUGAAGAAGGCCUUCGGGUUGUAAAGCUCUUUUGUCAGGGAAGAAACAGCAGCUCUAACACAGUUUGCGAAUGACGGUACCUGAAGAAUAAGCACCGGCUAACUACGUGCCAGCAGCCGCCGUAA
rnacentral:rRNA from 1 species